UCCACAGACUGUAUGUUCAAUGGGCAAAGACUGUAUCUUCCUCUCCACUUGGAAAGCACUGUACUUACCACAGUUUGGGUCACAGCCAGAAUAGAAGUAAUUAAUAAACACAGCUGUCUCUGAACACAAACUGGGUUUCCCUGGUCAGAGUACGUAGGGAUUUUUUUCCUCCCUGGGAAACAGGCUAACUAAACUGCUAUGCAUUCCCCUAUCUCUACUAGUCUAGAGCAUGUUUCUACAAUGCUGUUAGAACAGGGUUAAUGAAGAACCCUCACACACCUGCCAGGGGCAGACAGCAAUACCCAUCUUAAACUGUGUGGUUGCUAGCACAGUUACAACCAUAAUGUUAUGAGAGCAAAAACAGGGGGUGCACUUAGCCUGUCCUUGGUGGUGUGCCCUGCUGGCAUGUCUUUGCUCCAUCCAAACACUUAGGCUUUCAUUAAUGAACAAGUUUCUAGCCCCUACAGUUAUGCUGAAAAGAUUCUGAAUUUGAACUAACGCACUACUGUCUUCCAGAGUCUACACUGAUACAAACAAAACCCUCUCUUAGGGUAGGGAUCUGCCCAGACCCCCUGCUACAUACUCAGGCAGCUAGCCCAAGCCACCACCCAUGCUACCCACCUACCUUGCUAUUUUUAACACAGUAGUUCCAGCAGACCUAAUGUGGUCUGUCUAUGCAAGUUGGGAAUCACACCUCCCAGCUCAAAUGUAGACAUAUCCUUAGGGUGUCAAAUGCCCCCCUCUUCACUCAGUGGUGUAUUAUUGCUAUACUGGAUCACUAACUCGAGUCUACAAGAGAAAGUAUCUUGUGUUUAAAUAAAAUGAGAUAACACCGUCCCAUAAAUAGAAAAGUUAUGUCUAAUUGGACCUGUGUGGGAUGACUGAUCACAGAGAUUUAUCAGACAACCAUAUCAGUAGGUCACAAAGCUGCCAGAACAAUAGUUGAUUCUUUUUUAUGUCUUCCUAUUUAUCAAAUUCUUUUCCAAAGUUCUUUCAUUGUUUUCCCAUUCUGUGUUUUUUCCUCCUCCCCAGCUCUGGCUGGUAUUUACAGAAGUUUUACUGCUCCUUUGUCUAACUUUCUUUAUUCUGUAUUUUGUUCCUGUCACUCCUAACAGCCUUUCCACUGAAAAGCCUUUUCUUUCAUUUUGAUAUAUUAUAUUAGUGAGAUAGGCAGGAAAGGAUAGACUGUUUGUGUGGGCCUGUAGGGGAGAUAUUCUCACAGACUAACCCAGGACAAAGGAGAAGGAAGUUGCAGGACAGAAGACAGAGGGAAAUGGGGGAGGGACUUGAUUUUUAAUUGAUUUAGGGGGGCUGAUUUUGUUAACAUUAAUAUUUCUGGUCAUUGCUUUUUUAUAUGAAGGUAUGGGAGAAUGAGUAAAAUAUUGUACGGCACAAAGCCAGGCAAGAUCAGGUAUACCAGAGCAGAUUCUGGGGUGAGGUUUGUCCAUAUAGAACACAUAUGGGGGGGGGGGGGAGGGGGGGAGGUGCAUGUGCACACUUGAACCUCACCUUUGCACUACCUCACACUCCUGGUGCUGCCUCUCCGCUGGCUUUGGCCCCCCAUGUGGAGCUAGACACCCUGAGCACCGUUCUAACUUAGCUACAGACAAAGUCAACAGGUCAAAACCACAGCCGAGGAUUGUGUGGAUUCAUGCCCUCUUUCCUCUAGUCACACUUCCCCUCACCCCCCAAUAUACAGACAGCAGUGAGGGGGAGUGGCAUAAAGGCCUCUAAACCACCAGAAUAUCACCUUACACUGGCCUGAUCCUCUAUGGGCCUGUUGAAAUGGAAAGUAGUUGCACUGUGUAAGAAAUCUGACCCUGAAAUGACACUUUUCCCUGAACUAAGUCACACUCCUCCUCUCUUACUCCAGUGGCAUGGACUGUCACUUAAACCUGGUCAGUAGAGCAUCCAGCACAACAGGGUCCUAAUCUAACUGAACCCUAUGGGUGCUGCUAUCAGAAAAAAGUGUAAUUCUUCCCCUAGACAAGAAUAAAUGAUCCUUAAAAAUGAUCCCAGUUAUUAAUUUGUCAAGUGGCUAUCCCUGGUGCACAAGUCCCAGGAGUCUGAGAAAGGUAAGCACCUGGCACAACUUUCCACUGUUGUAGUGUGCUGCUAUUUACAACAAUGCAAAGAAAAUGUGAAAUGCAGAUAGUGAUACAGUCAGAGAUGACAGUGAAGUACAUUUUAUGUACAGCCUGCCUCGUUAGGGUCAAUAGACAGAAUGGUUAUAUAGGCUUUCCUAGUAAGUUUUCGGAUUGGCUCACAGUUGGAGGGCACCCUCUUUGCUCCCUACUAAAAUGGAGUUCUGCUUUAAAAAUCAUUGGAAAGCACUGCUUUUAGUUAUGUCUUUACAAAUACAUACACAUAGAGACAAAGUGGAGAUAGGCCCAAACUAGAAGAUUCAGAUCCCAGCUUCCCCAUAUAUUUCCUUUGACCCAGGAGGUCCUGCAACAUGACAUUCUCUGACCUCCUUCCAUCACCCAUAACUACAGUUGCCUUCUUGUGGAAAAAGACUAGUGGUGGUGGUCUUCUCUGCCCUCUAGUGGGACAUCAGACAGGCCAUUGGUCCCCUGUAGAGGUGAGGAGGACCAAAUCCUCCCUACACACACAUACUGUAUCUAGGAGCAAUACACAGAAUCAUUCUAUUGCCCCACCAGCUUUUUUAAAUUACUGGUUAAGCAAGAACUCACAAAAUACAUCCACUCCCUCAGAUAAUAUGACUCAAAAUGGCUUCUACUAAUCCUGACCACGUAGGGUAAACUCAGCCAGUAAGGAAACCAAAACCAAUACAAUCUGACCUGAGACCAGAGAUAACCAAGCAACCCAUCUUAAAAUUAGAAAAAUCAAUGUGAAUGGUGUCCAUUUUUGCAGCAAAAAAUGUUAAUGCAAAAAAUUUUGUUGAAAGAUGUAAUAAAACUGCUCCAAUUUUGUGACCUCAAAAAUAAAUAAAGCUAAUUUCAAUUUAAAAAUAUUUUGCUCUGAAUAUUUUGCUCAGCUUUAGCUUACAGAUGGGAAAAGCUACUUCAGAAGUAUGAGAAAAUUCCCUAAUUUUCGUGAACAAAUAUAUCACUAGAGUGGAGCACAUAACAUUUGCAUUAGUUGACUCAAGUUCUUUUAAAAAAUUUUAAUAUAAAAAUGAUUUCAAUACUAAUCAAAUGUAAGAGUGAAAUGUGAUCUCUUUGCAUAUCGUAGAUAUAAUAAAUUCCCUGCUAGUUUAUUGUCACCUAAAACUGCAUGCUCCUUUUUUCAGAAUAUUUUCUUUACUUUGUUGCUGUUUGGAAAACAAGACCCUGAUUCAAGAAAACGCUUAAUACAUGCUUAACUUUAAGCAUGUGCAUAAACUGAAGUCACUUUGACUUCAGUAGAACUUAAGCCCCUACUUACAAAAUUAAGCACUUUCUUAAAGUUAAGCAGGGUGUUGUGCAGAGUAGGAAUAAGGUAUAAGGUUUGGCUCUUAAACCAAAUGAAAUCAUUAUUAAAAUUCCCAUUGAUUAAAGCUCCAGUCCUGCAAAGAUGUAUGUAUAUGUUUAACUUUGCAUACUGGGAGCUGACUCACUGAAGUCCAUGGGUUGGAAUCGUACAGGAAAAGUUCUUAACUAAAACCCUAAUCUUGCAACUUUAUUUGCUCAGGCAGAUUGCUCUGCAGGCAGGAUCAGCGCUUAACUGGGGACUAGGUUCCCACUCUAGCAGUCAAAUCUACACACCUUAUGCAGAACCCCAGUGAGAUGAUUGGGUCAUAUGGAUUUGACUGUACACCUGCCUUAAUGCAAAUGUAGGACAAGGCCUACCUAACUGUACAGGGAAAACAAAUGAGCUGUCAAAUGUUCACAGACAAACUGAAGAGACAGAGGAAUGGAUUUCUUUUCUCUAAUCUCUUUUAGUCAUAGUAAUCUUAGGUGUGCCUUUUAACAAUGAGUGAUUUUUGUCGACAAUGUCCCUAUAGUAUAGAGAGAUUCCACCCAGAAUCAGAGAUUUGCCAUCCAUAAAUAUAUGGCUAGACAGACAAAUUUUAAAAAACCUUAAUUUUCUGAAGCAUGGGAUGUCAAAAUCCUAACCUACGAGUCCCUUCUGUGCAACAAAGCUCUCCUUGUUAAAAUUCUGCACAGGCAUGUUUCCUCUCUUCUCUCUCAGGUACCAUUCUUUCUAUGUACACUACAAUAACAACUGUUCCUUUACUCAGACUGAACACAAUAACCAGAUCUUUGUAGAGGAUAAUUAACAGCCAGCAGUGAGUCUUAGCAUUUAUUCAAUGGACUAUGAAUGAGUUAUGAAAAUUCUUUUUACUGAAGAAAUAAUAGGAUCUCAUACUGUUCACAUGUGUUUUGCUUCUCGUGUGAUAUUGUAUUUAUAGUUUUCAUAAUUUAAAAUGAGAAAUAUGCACAUAAAUAUGAUUGUACAUUUAUAUUGACAUAAUGAUUGCUAUAUAGAUUUGUCACCUUUUCUGUCACUAAUGAAAUCCCCAAUACAUUUGCGUCUGUUUCCGAUUCAUAGUGUCCACUCUGAGCUGCAUAUUGCUGUAUUGGUCAAUACUAAUGGGACAGAGCCUCAACAGCUGUUUCAGGAUAUUUGAUGUUUGGUCUUUGAUUCUGCAAUUGGAUCUACGAGGCUUUCACAGAUCUACCCGUAGGAUUAGAGCCCUGGAGUCUUCAGAACCACAAUAAAUGUGGAAAUUAUAUAGCCAACAUCAUGGUCACCAUUAAAAAAAUCCCAGUGGUUUUCACACAGUGGCCCAUGCAUUAGUGAUGUUAUUUCCUGUUCUAAGUAUCGAGGAAGUGAGGUCCAAUUGUUAAACAUGGUAGCCUGAGAUCCCAGAGACCUGAGUUCAAUUCCAUACUUAGCUAUCACUGUCCUGUGGGACCUUGGGCAAGACAUUUAGUCUUUCAACAUCUCAAACUUCUCUACAGAUACUGUGGUAAUGGGGGCCAUAAAAGAAUCUUACAUAUAUAGGAGAAUGUUGUAGUAUCUCAGUGUACAGCUACACAGCAAUAAAAAAUGCCCUGCAAUAAUGAGUCUCAGAGCCUGGGUCAACUCAUUUGGGCUUGCAGGGCUAAAAUUAGCAAUGUAGAUGCUCAGGCUGGAACCCAGGCUCCAAGGCCCUUGCCGAGCCUGAGCCCAAACAUCCACACGUCUAUUUUCAGCCCCACAACCCCAAAUCAGUUGACCCAGGCUCUGAGAUUUGUUGCCACAAGGUUGGGGUGGGGAGGACUUUUUGCUAUGUAGAUGUACACAUAGAGAUUACCCUGUAGUAAUUGCUGCCAAGUGCUGAUUUUGUUUAACAUUGGCCACUAUGGGUUGUGGCAUUACAUACACUAUGAUUCUAUUUAUGACAGGCUACCUGCCUGUCUGUGAGCCUCCAUUUCCCGACAUUGCUUCCUUCCUCACUCACCCGUUCCUGUAGAGCUUUAAACUUCUUCUCCCUUCAUCCCCAUUUCUCUGCUCAGGACCCAUCCACCCUGUCUAGACACAGCUGCAGAUUUCUCUAGCUCUCUCUCUCUGUGCCGUAGCAAUGACAGCACAGGAUGUCUGGAUGUGACUAUAAAUAAAAUGGAAUUGUUCUGAAAUAUAUUUCGUUCCUAAGCAUUGAAAGAUGUGCUUGUGCUUUUGGUUUCAUUAUAGAAAAUUAUCCUAUUGCCCUUUCUACUGUUUAUUGGCUACAUAUGUGUAAAAGAGAACAACUCACGGUCACAGGUUGGGACCAUUUUACAGGGGAUCCUAAUGGGAAACCAUGUCUUUUUGCUAUGAAGCUGAUAAGCCAGUUAGAGAGCAAUUUGACAUGAAAAGAAACACUACUCUCUUCCUGUUGAGACACUGAUGACCAUUAAUAAAAAUGUGAGAGAGGGAAAAACUUUCUGGAUAAGUAAGAAAAUACUAAGAAGAAAUAAAACUUCUUCUCAGUAUAUCACCUCCUUCCCCCAACAUCUCACCCAUGUACUAAAUCAGUAUAGAAAGUCAUAGGAUCCGGCUUGAGGAAGUGCAUGCUGUUAUUGCACAACAUAAAAUCAACAGACCCUUCUUCCUGAUUUUCCAAUAAACCUUGGUACUCUGGUGAGACAGGCUAUAGGAAUACAUGCAUCUUGCAGAUUUCCACAGAAAAUGUAUCUAGACGUAAUGGUUUUUAUGAUAAAAAUGCCUGUGUAGAAACCCUCAUGAAGAGUUUGCAUAAGACCUUGGAACUACACAAAUUGCCAGAAUCAAAGCCAAGUCAAAAAGGAGGGAGACACUGUUUCACUCAGUGUAUUAGUGGGAUCAUCUCAACUGAGUGAGUAAUUGCUACACAGAAAGAGACUUUCACAGACUGUGCUUAUAAAAGCUUAAAGAAUUCAUUUGUGAAGAGAGAAGUGAGUGAGCCUACUGAGUAUGAGCCCUCCUGACAAGGGAUCAGGAUAGUGCAAGCAACUCAUGCUGUGACACGGGCCAAUCCCACCUAGAACCAAGCUCCUAUAGCAAGCAGGAAGACACUUUAAGACCAUGUGAGAUUACUUGAAGCAUCACAGGAACCUGCCACUGGUAGAAAAUGAGAUAAAUAACAGAAUCCAGAAAUGUCUGAUCCCUGCAAAUGCCUAGUCAGUGCUGGAAUGCUGAAACAAUAUUGCUAUUUUUGGGACAGUGCAAUCAAUGGGGCAUGGCAUUCACCUGAGUAAUUAGGAUGUAUUGUGAUGUGAUUGAUUACAUCUAAGUUACAUUUCUAAGUGGCUAGUGCUGUCUCUGCUGCUGUUUAAUUUUAUGUUAUUUGCUAAAGCUCAGAAAGAGAACACACAAACAGGAAAAAGCCUUUGAAUUGGUCUUGGAGUUGUGAAAUACCUGGAAAAGCAUCCUGGUUAUUACUGACAUGCAAAUGAGCACACCAUGAAAACCACCUUGUUUCAGGAGAACCGUGAACAGAUGGCUUUUAUACUAGUGCAGGUUUUACCCAGGCCAGGAUGCAUCCAAGGGUAUGUUGUUAACCCCAACAAACGUAAUGCUAUUACUCAAGAGACUGAGCUUCAUGGCAGUUCUAUAGUUGUUUCCAUAUUAUUAGAUUGUUUUGAGCUUGCAGUGCAACUAAGCAGUAUCAGUGGAGCAAGUCAUUCUCAGGGAAAGAUCUCUUUCAAAAGCAGUGAUCUUAACAGAGGAUGGGGAAUAAAACCAUGCCAUUAAUAACAGAGUGACAUUCAAGCUCCUUGGAAGUUGUCCUGCAGUACAGGCAGGCAAAGUUCACUGCAGCAGAGAGUCCAAUAGUCUGCUGCAGCACAGCAACACUUAAAGGGGACCUACAAAGGAAGUAAAGUUGAGCUUGUGGCCAUUUUUGCCUCUUUAUGAUCUUUAAAAGAGGCCUAACAUUUGUCUUUUAAAAAUAGUGGUGGUAGGUGGGAGGGUUCUGCUUGUAUUUUACGUUUGAAAUUUGUGUCCUGUCUAGCCUAGAAGGAUUAUUAUUAUUACUAUUUAUUAUUUGUAUUAUAAUCUAGCAUCUAUUUGUGUAGCAUCUAGGAGCCCCAAUCAUGGACCAAGACCCCAUUUGUUUAGGAGCUGUAUAACCACAGACUCUUGAUGCUGGACAACUAGUGAAAUAAUGGUAUGGUACAAGUCCAGGGAGUGAAAGUUGAGCAGGGAAGGACUUCUUGGAUGAACUCCUAAUGGAAAGGACAAGGGAAACGGAAUGAAUCCUUAACAAAAAGAGCUUUUGACCUAAGUGUAUUUGUGACACAGGUGUUCGCAAACACAAAGACAACAUUUUUUUGAACAGUCUGAAUAAAAAUCACAAAUAAUGAGGUU